CGUCGUACUUCGGCAGGUUCAGGUCGAGCAGGAUCAAGUCCGGCCGCGGUGCGCCCUCGUAUGAGCCCCGUUGAUAGAGGAAGUCCAGGCCCUCCUCGCCGUCGUGGGCGACGUGCAGAUUGUUGUUGAUCUUGUUGUGCUCGAACGCUUCACGGGUGAUGAGUUCGUCGCCCGGGUCGUCCUCGACCAGUAGGACGUCAAUGGCGCGUACGGCUGAUGUCACUCGUGGGUUCCUUCCAGAAGGGCAGUUGGGAUCUCAUUGGGUUCAGUCGUAGGGGUGGCAAGCAAUGUGAACUGGAUUCGGGUUCCCUGUGUGAAGGACGUGUCGACCCAGAUGGAUCCACCAUGGUGCUCGACGAUCUUCUUGCACAACGCUAGACCGAUGCCGGUCCCGCUGUACACCUCACGGACGUGUAGGCGCUGGAAGAUGACGAACACCUUGUCCGCGAACUCCGGGGCGAUCCCGAUGCCGUUGUCGGAGACGGUGAAGAGCCAUUCGCCUUCCUGCGGACCACUGCCCUUCUCGCACUCGAUGACGAUCCGCGGCGCAACCCCCUCUCGGCGGAACUUCACCGCGUUUCCGAUGAGGUUCUGCCACACCAUCGUCAGCAGGGUCGGGUCGCCGUCGACGGUGGGCAGCGCCUGGGCGGGCCGCACGAUCUCGGCGUUCGCUUCCGCGGUCGACGUCGACAGGUUGCCCAGCGCGAUUCCGAGCGUCUCCUCGAGGUCGACCUCGGUAUGCGUCGAGUUGAGCCGCCCGACCCUUGAGAAGGUGAGGAGGUCGUUGAUCAGGGCCUGCAUUCGCUUGGCGCCGUCGACGGCGAAGCCGAUGUAUUCGGUGCCGCGCUCGUCGAGUUGGUCGCCGUAGCGCUUCUCGAGCAGCUGGCAGAACGAAGCGACUUUCCGCAGCGGCUCCUGUAGAUCGUGGGAGGCGACGUAGGCGAACUGCUCGAGUUCCGCGUUGGACCGACGCAACUCCUCUGCCUGCUCGUCCAGCGCCGCACGGGCUGAGCGCGACGCUUCCAGCUCGUCCACGAUGCGCUGCCGCAUGUCCUCGACGUCGGCGGCAAUUGCACGGAUGUCUCGUGGACCCCGUGGGGUGAUGCGCUCCC
rnacentral:misc_RNA from 1 species